AUGGUGUUGUUCUUAUCACGUAGUUCAGUCAAGUUCCACGCACAGCUUCUAAAUUGUCUCCACAUAGAGUGUGCUGAUAUCCACAAGAAACAAGAGCAGCGUGACCGAACCACAACGUUCUCCGCCUUCCACAUGGCAGAAAAGGGUAUCAUGUUAUGCACUAAUGUGGCAGCACGUGGACUUGAUCUUCCUGAUGUGGUGAGGCUUUGGCAAAUCUAUCUUUAA
rnacentral:rRNA from 1 species